rnacentral:rRNA from 1 species
UACGAGGGGUCCUAGCGUUGUUCGGAAUCAUUGGGCGUAAAGGGUGCGUAGGCUGCUAUUCAAGUCAGUUGUGAAAUCCCCGGGCUCAACCCGGGAAGUGCUUCUGAUACUGUUUAGCUUGAGUACUGGAGAGGAUAGUAGAAUUCCAGGUGUAGUGGUGAAAUACGUAGAUAUCUGGAGGAAUACCGGUGGCGAAGGCGGCUAUCUGGCCAUGUACUGACACUGAAGCACGAAAGCGUGGGGAGCAAACAGG